CCCUACGGGGGGCAGCAGUAGGGAAUAUUGCUUAAUGGGCGCAAGCCUGAAGCAGCAACGCCGCGUGUGCGAUGAAGGCCUUCGGGUUGUAAAGCACUUUUGAUCGGGAAGAGGAAGGACGGUACCGGUCGAAUAAGCCUCGGCUAACUACGUGCCAGCAGCCGCGGUAAAACGUAGGAGGCGAGCGUUAUCCGGAUUUACUGGGUGUAAAGCGCGUGCAGGCGGUUGGCUAAGUUGGGUGUGAAAGCUCCUGGCUUAACUGGGAGAGGUCGCUCAAGACUGGCCGACUGGAGAGCAGGAAGGGAAGGUGGAAUUCCGGGUGUAGUGGUGAAAUGCGUAGAUAUCCGGAGGAACACCAGUGGCGAAAGCGGCCUUCUGGACUGCAUCUGACGCUCAGACGCGAAAGCUAGGGGAGCAAACGGGAUUAGAAACCCGAGUAGUCCA
rnacentral:rRNA from 1 species